CUUUGGUCAAGAAUCAAGAUUUCUUUUCAUGAUCUGUCUCCUUUUAUAAUCUUUAUAAUUAUGGACAGACAUUAUGAUGCUAGUCAUUGUUGAGCAAGAUGGUGAUGAUGAUGUUUUCUUUUUUUGUGACAUGUUGAUGACUUGAGACUGCAAAAUCAGGUGCUAGAUUGAUUUAUUUUUCAUCAUGAAAGAAAAACCAUUUCACAUCUUCUUACUAAGGUGUUGGGGGCACAAAAUGUUUCCCAGACAAAAAGGAUGCUUUAAUUAUUAUGCCUAAUUGUGCAGAGAGAACAAUCACAAAAACAAGGAUCUGCAUUGAUGUUCCAAUGUGCUUUUAUGGAAUAAAUGAAGUCCAAGAAUCAAAAGAAAAAUGCUGAGAAACAGAUGAAGAACUCUUUGGGAAUGUGCAUACUUUUAUUGGAACCUCAUAUAAGCACCCUGAGAGAAGCAAAGAAAGAUGCUAAUUGGAGGAGAAAAUACAGGCCAAGGAGGCAUUCCUGUUCUGGGAUUCCAUGAGAGCAUUCAUUACCCUUAAGUGGCAGAGUGGGUUUCUGUACCUGCUAUCGACAGCCCUACCUACUAUAAUCCCCUCGCUUUACACUGAGUUCAGCAGACCAUAUCAUAUGGGUUAUUGCUGCGAUAUAAUCUGGUAAGACAGCCAUACUCCCUUUAGGAAUAAAAUAGUUCUAAAUGAAUAUAAUUAAUGAAGG
rnacentral:lncRNA from 1 species